rnacentral:rRNA from 1 species
AUGCACGCUGGCGGCGUGCCUAACACAUGCAGGUCGAACGGAGUCGUUUUGGAAAUCUCUUCGGAGAUGGAAUUCUCGACUUAGUGGCGGACGGGUGAGUAACGCGUGAGCAAUCUGCCUUUAAGAGGGGGAUAACAGUCGGAAACGGCUGCUAAUACCGCAUAAAGCAUUAAAUUCGCAUGUUUUUGAUGCCAAAGGAGCAAUCCGCUUUUAGAUGAGCUCGCGUCUGAUUAGCUAGUUGGCGGGGUAACGGCCCACCAAGGCGACGAUCAGUAGCCGGACUGAGAGGUUGAACGGCCACAUUGGGACUGAGACACGGCCCAGACUCCUACGGGAGGCAGCAGUGGGGAAUAUUGCGCAAUGGGGGAAACCCUGACGCAGCAACGCCGCGUGAUUGAAGAAGGCCUUCGGGUUGUAAAGAUCUUUAAUCAGGGACGAAACAAAUGACGGUACCUGAAGAAUAAGCUCCGGCUAACUACGUG